GAGUUUGAUCCUGGCUCAGGAUGAACGCUAGCGGCAGGCUUAACACAUGCAAGUCGAGGGGCAUCGGGAGGGAAGCUUGCUUUCCUUGCCGGCGACCGGCGCACGGGUGAGUAACACGUAUGCAACCUGCCCUCUUCAGGGGGACAACCUUCCGAAAGGGAGGCUAAUCCCGCGUAUAUCGGUUUCGGGCAUCCGUUAUCGAGGAAAGAUUCAUCGGAAGAGGAUGGGCAUGCGGCGCAUUAGCUUGACGGCGGGGUAACGGCCCACCGUGGCGACGAUGCGUAGGGGUUCUGAGAGGAAGGUCCCCCACACUGGUACUGAGACACGGACCAGACUCCUACGGGAGGCAGCAGUGAGGAAUAUUGGUCAAUGGGAGAGAUCCUGAACCAGCCAAGCCGCGUGAGGGAAGACGGCCCUAUGGGUUGUAAACCUCUUUUGUCGGAGAACAAAACCCGGGACGUGUCCCGGACUGCGUGUAUCCGAAGAAAAAGCAUCGGCUAACUCCGUGCCAGCAGCCGCGGUAAUACGGAGGAUGCGAGCGUUAUCCGGAUUUAUUGGGUUUAAAGGGUGCGUAGGCGGUCCGUUAAGUCAGCGGUAAAAUUGCGGGGCUCAACCCCGUCGAGCCGUUGAAACUGUCAGACUUGAGUUGGCGAGAAGUACGUGGAAUGCGCGGUGUAGCGGUGAAAUGCAUAGAUAUCGCGCAGAGCUCCGAUUGCGAAGGCAGCGUACCGGCGCCAGACUGACGCUGAGGCACGAAAGCGUGGGGAUCGAACAGGAUUAGAUACCCUGGUAGUCCACGCAGUAAACGAUGAAUGCUGGUUGUCCGGGUCGAAUGAGAUCUGGGCGGCGAAGCGAAAGCGAUAAGCAUUCCACCUGGGGAGUACGCCGGCAACGGUGAAACUCAAAGGAAUUGACGG
rnacentral:rRNA from 1 species